AGCGAACGCUGGCGGCAUGCCUAACACAUGCAAGUCGCACGGGGGGGCUUCGGCCUCCCAGUGGCGGACGGGUGAGGAACGCGUAGGGACCUGUCGAGGGGUGGGGGAUAACCGCGGGAAACUGCGGCUAAUACCGCAUGACGCCGCGGCGUGACAGCCGGGGCCAAAGGCGAAAGCCGCCCGCCGAGGGGCCUGCGUCCGAUUAGCUGGUUGGCGGGGUAGCGGCCCACCAAGGCGUCGAUCGGUAGCUGGGCUGAGAGGGUGAUCAGCCACACCGGGACUGAGACACGGCCCGGACUCCUACGGGAGGCAGCAGUGGGGAAUAUUGGACAAUGGGCGCAAGCCUGAUCCAGCAAUGCCGCGUGGGUGAAGAAGGUCUUCGGAUUGUAAAGCCCUUUCGGCGGGGACGAUGGUGACGGUACCCGCAGAAGAAGCCCCGGCUAACUUCGUG
rnacentral:rRNA from 1 species